rnacentral:rRNA from 1 species
GCGGUGCUCUUCAUUGAGUGUCGAGGUGGGCCGGCACGUUUACUUUGAACAAAUUAGAGUGCUUCAAGCAGGCUGGAUAUUGCCUGAAUGCUUAGUGCAUGGAAUAAUGGAAUAGGACCUCGGUUCUAUUUUGUUGGUUUUCGGAACCAGAGGUAAUGAUUAAUGGAGACAGGCGGGGGCAUUCGUAUUGCGACGUUAGAGGUGAAAUUCUUGGAUCGUCGCAAGACGGACCGAAGCGAAAGCAUUUGCCAAGGAUGUUCUCGUUGAUCAAGAACGAAAGUUAGAGGUUCGAAGGCGAUCAGAUACCGCCCUAGUUCUAACCAUAAACGAUGCCAGCUAGCGAUCCGCUAAAGUUCCUUUGAUGACUUAGCGGGCAGCUUCCGGGAAACCAAAGCUUGUGGGUUCCGGGGGAAGUAUGGUUGCAAAGCUGAAACUUAAAGGAAUUGACGGAAGGGCACCACCAGGAGUGGAGCCUGCGGCUUAAUUUGACUCAACACGGGAAACCUCACCAGGCCCAGACACUGGAAGGAUUGACAGAUUGAGAGCUCUUUCUUGAUUCAGUGGGUGGUGGUGCAUGGCCGUUCUUAGUUGGUGGAGCGAUUUGUCUGCUUAAUUGCGAUAACGAACGAGACUCUAGCCUGCUAACUAGUCGUUUUCCGGCUUCCUCUGUGCAGCCGGCGAAGACAAAUCUUCUUAGAGGGACAGGCGGCUUCUAGCCGCACGAGAUUGAGCAAUAACAGGUCUGUGAUGCCCUUAGAUGUUCUGGGCCGCACGCGCGCUACAAUGAAGGUAUCAGCGUGUCCUCCCUGGCCGAAAGGUCCGGGUAACCCGCUGAACCACCUUCGUGCUUGGGAUUGGGGCUUGCAAUUGUUCCCCAUGAACGAGGAAUUCCCAGUAAAGGCGUGUCAUUAGCACGCCUUGAUUACGUCCCUGCCCUUUGUACACACCGCCCGUCGCUACUACCGAUUGAAUGAUUUAGUGAGGUCUUCGGACCGGCGCGCGGUGAUCUCUCGGGAUCGCCGAUGCCGCUGGAAAGAUGACCAAACUUGAUUA